AUAUAACUCCCACCAUUAGGUAAUGUCCAUAAUAUGUGUAUAGUAUAUCAAGUGUGACAGUAAUGUUUAAAGUAAUGAUGUCAUAGGUUGUAUGGUAUAGUGGUGUAUGGUGCUGUCAUGUAUGUAACAUUGUCCAUGUGUUCAGAUGUCAACAGUCCCAUGUGCUUCUGUGUAUGUUUACCUGUCCUGUGACCUGUGACCUAUAUGUAAAGUACCUGUUGGUCAUGUGACUGCCACCUCAACUGUAUCCCUCACCUGCAUGCUUUCUACCUCUGUGUGCAAGAAACUGGCAGCCAUGCUGGGUGUAACAUUUUGAUACCAGAAUUUAGAAGAGAACCAGGUGUGAAAUGGAAGUCUAGUAGACCUGUGUAGUAACCUGUGUAGUGUACAAGCACGGAGCUAGCCCCUGUCGGAAUGAUAGAGGUGUUUUCUAUGUUACGUCUUGUUUGUGCUACGG